rnacentral:rRNA from 1 species
GACGAACGCUUGCGGCGUGCUUAACACAUGCAAGUCGAACGGAAAGGCCCUGCUUUUGUGGGGUGCUCGAGUGGCGAACGGGUGAGUAACACGUGAGUAACCUGCCCUUGACUUUGGGAUAACUUCAGGAAACUGGGGCUAAUACCGGAUAGGAGCUCCUGCUGCAUGGUGGGGGUUGGAAAGUUUCGGCGGUUGGGGAUGGACUCGCGGCUUAUCAGCUUGUUGGUGGGGUAGUGGCUUACCAAGGCUUUGACGGGUAGCCGGCCUGAGAGGGUGACUGGCCACAUUGGGACUGAGAUACGGCCCAGACUCCUACGGGAGGCAGCAGUGGGGAAUAUUGCACAAUGGGCGGAAGCCUGAUGCAGCAACGCCGCGUGCGGGAUGACGGCCUUCGGGUUGUAAACCGCUUUCGCCUGUGACGAAGCGUGAGUGACGGUAAUGGGUAAAGAAGCACCGGCUAACUACGUGCCAGCAGCCGCGGUGAUACGUAGGGUGCGAGCGUUGUCCGGAUUUAUUGGGCGUAAAGGGCUCGUAGGUGGUUGAUCGCGUCGGAAGUGUAAUCUUGGGGCUUAACCCUGAGCGUGCUUUCGAUACGGGUUGACUUGAGGAAGGUAGGGGAGAAUGGAAUUCCUGGUGGAGCGGUGGAAUGCGCAGAUAUCAGGAGGAACACCAGUGGCGAAGGCGGUUCUCUGGGCCUUUCCUGACGCUGAGGAGCGAAAGCGUGGGGAGCGAACAGGCUUAGAUACCCUGGUAGUCCACGCUGUAAACGGUGGGUACUAGGUGUGGGGUCCAUUCCACGGGUUCCGUGCCGUAGCUAACGCUUUAAGUACCCCGCCUGGGGAGUACGGCCGCAAGGCUAAAACUCAAAGGAAUUGACGGGGCCCCGCACAAGCGGCGGAGCAUGCGGAUUAAUUCGAUGCAACGCGUAGAACCUUACCUGGGUUUGACAUGGAUCGGGAGUGCUCAGAGAUGGGUGUGCCUCUUUUGGGGUCGGUUCACAGGUGGUGCAUGGCUGUCGUCAGCUCGUGUCGUGAGAUGUUGGGUUAAGUCCCGCAACGAGCGCAACCCUUGUUCACUGUUGCCAGCACGUUAUGGUGGGGACUCAGUGGAGACCGCCGGGGUCAACUCGGAGGAAGGUGGGGAUGACGUCAAGUCAUCAUGCCCCUUAUGUCCAGGGCUUCACGCAUGCUACAAUGGCUGGUACAGAGAGUGGCGAGCCUGUGAGGGUGAGCGAAUCUCGGAAAGCCGGUCUCAGUUCGGAUUGGGGUCUGCAACUCGACCUCAUGAAGUCGGAGUCGCUAGUAAUCGCAGAUCAGCAACGCUGCGGUGAAUACGUUCCCGGGGCU